rnacentral:rRNA from 1 species
UACAGAGGUGGCAAGCGUUGUUCGGAAUUACUGGGCGUAAAGGGCGCGUAGGCGGUCUUUUAAGUUCCGUGUGAAAUCCCUCGGCUCAACUGGGGAACUGCACGGGGAACUGGAAGGCUUGAGUUCGGGAGAGGGAAGCGGAAUUCCCGGUGUAGCGGUGAAAUGUGUAGAGAUCGGGAGGAGCACCGGUGGCGAAGGCGGGUCUCUGGGCAUUUCCUGACGCUGAGGCGCGAAAGCGUGGGGAGCAAACGGG